rnacentral:rRNA from 1 species
AUUGAACGCUGGCGGCAUGCCUUACACAUGCAAGUCGAACGGCAGCACGGGUGCUUGCCCCUGGUGGCGAGUGGCGAACGGGUGAGUAAUACAUCGGAACAUGUCCUGUAGUGGGGGAUAGCCCGGCGAAAGCCGGAUUAAUACCGCAUACGAUCUACGGAUGACAGCGGGGGACCUUCGGGCCUCGCGCUUUAGGGUUGGCCGAUGGCUGAUUAGCUAGUUGGUGGGGUAAAGGCCUACCAAGGCGACGACCAGUAGCUGGUCUGAGAGGACGACCAGCCACACUGGGACUGAGACACGGCCCAGACUCCUACGGGAGGCAGCAGUGGGGAAUUUUGGACAAUGGGCGAAAGCCUGAUCCAGCAAUGCCGCGUGUGUGAAGAAGGCCUUCGGGUUGUAAAGCACUUUUGUCCGGAAAGAAAUCCUUGGCCCUAAUACGGUCGGGGGAUGACGGUACCGGAAGAAUAAGCACCGGCUAACUACGUG